rnacentral:rRNA from 1 species
GGAGUUAGCCGGUGCUUCUUCUGUGAGUGAUGUCCUUCCUGCCGGCUAUUAACCCGCAGGCCUUCUUCCUCACUGAAAGUGCUUUACAACCCGAAGGCCUUCUUCACACACGCGGCAUGGCUGGAUCAGGGUUGCCCCCAUUGUCCAAUAUUCCCCACUGCUGCCUCCCGUAGGAGUCUGGGCCGUGUCUCAGUCCCAGUGUGGCUGAUCAUCCUCUCAGACCAGCUACGGAUCGUCGCCUUGGUGAGCCGUUACCUCACCAACCAGCUAAUCCGACAUAGGCUCAUCCGAUAGCGCGAGGCCCGAAGGUCCCCCGCUUUCCCCCGUAGGGCGUAUGCGGUAUUAGCCUGGGUUUCCCCAGGUUAUCCCCCACUACCGGGCAGAUUCCUAUGCAUUACUCACCCGUCCGCCGCUCGCCACCAGGGAGCAAGCUCCCCGUGCUGCCGCUCGACUUGCAUGUGUUGGGCCUGCCGCCAGCGUUCAAUCUGAGCCAUAAUCAAACUCUGA